CGGCGUCAGAGUGGUUAAGAACAACAAAUGAUUAAAGCCGAACGCCCUCAAAGCAGUUAUACGCAUCCGAGGGUAAGAAGCCCCAUAACGAAAGUAGCUUUAUUAAUCCUGACUCCACGAAAGCUAAGGAA
rnacentral:rRNA from 1 species